rnacentral:rRNA from 1 species
GAUGAACGCUAGCGGCAGGCCUAACACAUGCAAGUCGAGGGGGAAGUUACUUUCGGGCAACAGAGACCGGCGUACGGGUGCGUAACGCGUAUACAAUCUGCCUUUCACUGGGGGAUAGCCCGAAGAAAUUUGGAUUAAUACCCCAUAGUAUAGUAAUACGGCAUCGUGAUACUAUUAAAGCUUAGGUGGUGAAAGAUGAGUAUGCGUUCUAUUAGUUAGUUGGAGAGGUAACGGCUCCCCAAGGCGAUGAUAGAUAGGGGUUCUGAGAGGGAUGUCCCCCACACUGGUACUGAGAUACGGACCAGACUCCUACGGGAGGCAGCAGUGAGGAAUAUUGGACAAUGGUCGGAAGACUGAUCCAGCCAUGCCGCGUGCAGGGAUGAAGGUCUUAUGGAUUGUAAACUGCUUUUGUAAGGGAAGAAUAAGGGCUACGUGUAGUUUGAUGACGGUACCUUACGAAUAAGCAUCGGCUAACUCCGUGCCAGCAGCCGCGGGUAAUACGGAGGAUGCGGAGCGUUAUCCGGAAUCAUUGGGUUUAAAGGGUCUGUAGGCGGGCUGGUAAGUCAGAGGUGAAAGCGCUCAGCUAAACUGAGCAAACUGCCUGUUGAAACUGUUUGGUUUUUGAAAUGGGUUGUGAAAGUAGUUGGGAAUGUGUAGUGUAGCGGUGAAAUGCUUAGAUAUUACACAGAACACCGAUAGCGAAGGCAUAUUACUAACAAUUGAUUGACGCUGAUGGACGAAAGCGUGGGGAGCGAACAGG